UAGGUAAUAAUAUGCAUUAUUUAUGGCAAUGACAAAGUCUGGAAAAGGACUUGUGCAUUGAGUAUCUCUUGUUCUGGGCAGUGGCCAUGAGACUACCUGAGCUACACUGCUGGUGGAUGGCAGACAAGCUGUGCAGAGAGGAGAUGUGAAGUCCCAGCCCAGGCUGUCCUAGCUCUGUACCAACAGUGAGAUGAGCAGAGUCACUAACAUUAUAUACAGCUUCGCCACACAGAGUUGAGACUGAUGCCCUGACACCGUGUACCUAAGUCCCUGAAAAAAUCACCAUUAGGAUUCUUCUUGACUACCCCACUUUCAUCACCGCACUUCAGGAAAAUUCCUUGAUGUGGCAGUAAUGAAAUUUCCUGGCCCUCUCUUGGCAGUCCGAAACUUAAGGCACCUGAAAUACCUAUAUUUUCCAUGCGCUGGUGUCUUUCUCUUUGAAAGCCAAAGGAGACAGAAGGGCAGAUAAGAAGACUCUGAUGCCUUUUCCACCAUCUCUUGUUUCCUAGGGAAAUCCACCUGAGGCAAGUGGAUGGUGCUUGACCACAUUCAUUUUUAUGUUUUUUAAAGAUUUAAUUAAUUUAUUUGAAAGUCAAAGUUAGCGAGAGAUCUUCCAUCUGCUGAUUCACUCCACAAAUGGCUGCAACAGCCAAAACUGGGCCAAGCUGAAGCCAGGAGCCAGGAGCUUCUUCUAGGUCUCCCAUUUGGGUGCAGGAGCCCAAGUACUUGGGUUAUAUUCUGCUGCUUUCCCAGGCCACUAUCAGGGAGCUGGCUCAGAAGUAGAGCAGUCAGGACUUGAACUGGUGGCCAUAUGGGAUGCCAGAACUGCAGGUGGUAUCUUAACCGGCUGAGCCACAGCCAACAAAGGCCAGGUUGAACACUUUCAUUGGGAGAAACAUCCCAACAGUUACCUUGGAUCUCUUUGGUUUAAUAUUCUUUAAACCAACCUACUAUCAAGAGUAUAGAUCUGAUUAAUCCAAAAGGCACUUUCUGGGCUUUAAAAGAAGUGCCCCAAAUAAUAUUAAAUCAGGAAUUACUUAGUAAGCAUAUAUAGUUUGCCAGAUGCUGUGAAGAGAAAUGGUACCUCUCUCUACUAUCCUCAGGAGAUGAAAAUAUAUUUUCAAGUUAUGAUGCAUUUGAGAAAAAUUUAUACAUAUGAAAUAAGUUAUAGUUGAAAAUCAGGUUUCGGAAUCAAUUUAGUAGUUGGGAAACAUACUAAAUAUAACUAACUGGCAAGUUCUGGAUUUGUGGUUUACAUUUUUUCCUACAGUAAAACAUUGAGGGAUAUAUGGCGUGCAAAUAUAUUUGAGAGUAUUAGAAGUAGUUUUAUAAGUGGUGCUUGACUAUUUUUCCAUUGUCAACUCUAAAAAUUCUCAAAAUUACAAUACUUUUGAAAUUUUAAUAACAUUCAAAGUCUUUGUGCUAUUUUUUCCCUGAUAUUGUUAAAAUAUAACAAUUUCUAAGACUAAAAUGCUGUGGUCUGACAUCAUUAAUAUGAACAGGGACCUGAACCAAAAGAUCAAUUCAAACAGUAAAAUUUCUGCUGAAGUUGGAAGCUACAGAGUACUUGAAAAUGGAAUUGUUUUUUCAGCCUUUUGGCAUUAAUUUCUAUAUUUAUAUAUUUUGCUGGAAUACAUUCUGCUGAUAACCUGUGGUCACCCUAUGUGAAAUACAGUAAAUGUUAAAUAACUGAUCCAUUUUAAUUACUGGAUUAAGAAGUUACAAGUAGGUUGAGACUUCACCAGCAUUUGUCCUUAGAAUAGUAAGGGCCAGGGUUGGAGGAUUGGAUUGGGAGAGAAGGAUGCUGUUGGGAGGCAAAUGCGGAAAAGGCUGAUAACAGAACUCUUUCAAAGAUGUGCAGCAGGUCAUGCUCCCAGGAUGCAAAUUUCCUGUUUAAUCCAAGGUAGAGUUCCUCCUGAUUCACCUUCAGUUUUUUCUUCUACCUACUGAUGAGCCUUGCCUCCUAACAGACACUCAAUUAGCAACAGCAGAUUGCCAAAUGCAGUCUUUCCAUCAUGCAGUUAGGUCAUAUUUAAAAAUAUUAAGUCAUGUUGGAAAAAGACCUAUUUGAACUUGUUUCCUGAGGGAACAGCAAGCUCAUCAAAACUAUCAGUGAGGCAAAUCUACAGAUCAAGAACACAUUCUCCAUGACCCUUAAGAAAAGAAUAGAUAUAAAAUUUUAGCAUUUGUUAAUCUUUCUUUUUUAUGGUAAAUAUUAGCUGAACCAUAAAAACUUUUGUGUAAAAAUCUUCAUCUCCUUUAUUUGCCAUAAGUAAUCAUCCCAUAUUACCUUCAUAGGAAGUAAAUAUAAAAUCUAUGGGGGAGUAACAGCUGUGUGUUGGAUUGUGGGCCACUCUGAUUUAUAUACACAAAGUCCUAUUUUAUGAUUUUUAUUGGGAGGGGAAGCAAGAAUUGUGGUGAGUUGGAUUAGAGUCUGUUUUCAACAUAGAAUAACUGAAAAAAAUGUGUAUACCAGAAAACUCACCAACUUGACACCUUGGAAGAAUUAUACGUUUUUGUCUUUAUC